AGUUCCUACGGGAGGCAGCAGUGAGGAAUAUUGGUCAAUGGUCGGGAGACUGAACCAGCCAAGCCGCGUGAGGGAUGAAGGUACAGAGUAUCGUAAACCUCUUUUGUCAGGGAACAAAGGCGGGGACGUGUCCCCGGAUGAGUGUACCUGAAGAAAAAGCAUCGGCUAACUCCGUGCCAGCAGCCGCGGUAAUACGGAGGAUGCGAGCGUUAUCCGGAUUUAUUGGGUUUAAAGGGUGCGCAGGCGGCCUGUUAAGUCAGCGGUAAAAGCCCGGGGCUCAACCCCGGCGAGCCGUUGAAACUGGG
rnacentral:rRNA from 1 species